rnacentral:rRNA from 1 species
CAGCCGCCGCGGUAACACCGGCAGCUCUAGUGGUAGCUGUUUUAUUGGGCCUAAAGCGUUCGUAGCCGGUUUAAUAAGUCUCUGGUGAAAUCCUAUAGCUUAACUGUGGGAAUUGCUGGAGAUACUAUUAGACUUGAGAUCGGGAGAGGUCAGAGGUACUCCUGGGGUAGGGGUGAAAUCCUGUAAUCCUAGGAGGACCACCUGUGGCGAAGGCGUCUGACUAGAACGAAUCUGACGGUGGGGAACGAGAGCUAGGGGCGCGAACCGGAUUAGAUACCCGGGUAGUCCUAGCCGUAAACUAUGCGGACUUGGUGUGAGGGUGGCUUUGAGCCGUCCUGGUGCCGAAGGGAAGCUGUUAAGUCCGCCGCCUGGGAAGUACGGUCGCAAGACUGAAACUUAAAGGAAUUGGCGGGGGAGCGCCACAACGCGUGGAGCCUGCGGUUUAAUUGGAUUCAACGCCGGAGAUCUCACCAGCGGCGACAGCAGUAUGAUGACCAGGUUGAUGACUUUGUUUGACAAGCUGAGAAGAGGUGCAUGG